GACGAACGCUGGCGGCGUGCCUAACACAUGCAAGUCGAGCGGAGUCAGUAAGAGGAAGUUUUCGGAUGGAAUCUUGCUGGUUUAGCGGCGGACGGGUGAGUAACGCGUGAGCGACCAACCUUGCACAGGGGGAUAACGGACCGAAAGGUUCACUAAUACCGCAUGAGACCACGGUGUUGCAUGACACAGGGGUCAAAGGAGCAAUCCGGUGCAAGACGGGCUCGCGUCCGAUUAGGUAGUUGGAGGGGUAACGGCCCACCAAGCCUAUGAUCGGUAGCCGACCUGAGAGGGUGAUCGGCCACAUUGGAACUGAGAUACGGUCCAAACUCCUACGGGAGGCAGCAGUGGGGAAUAUUGGGCAAUGGGGGAAACCCUGACCCAGCAACGCCGCGUGAAGGAAGAAGGUUUUCGGAUUGUAAACUUCUGUCCUUGGUGAAGAGAAGAAGACGGUAGCCAAGGAGGAAGCCCCGGCUAACUACGUGCCAGCCGCCGCGGUAA
rnacentral:rRNA from 1 species